AAUCCAUGGUGAGGACACCUUCGCAGUAGGCCCUUGUAUCUCUCCCAUGCAUUAUAAAGAGUUUCUAAGCUAUCUGCACAAAUGAAGAGAUAUUAUUACGUAAUU
rnacentral:snoRNA from 1 species